rnacentral:RNase_P_RNA from 1 species
CAGUCGGAUAAUCGCGCUUGGUCUUACCAAGUGAGGAAAGUCCGUGCAUCCAAGAACAGGCAUCCGGAGAAACUCCGGGCGGUGAGAACCGGCGGAUAGUGCCACAGAAAUGAUGACUGCCGAUGGAUUUUAUAUCACAGGCGAUGGUGCAACGGUGAGGUAAGAGCGUCACCAACAAAGCCGGAAGGCUUUGGUUAGGUAAACCCAUGUCGGAUGCAAGGUUGAGUUCGGGGCUAUAAAGGUUGUUCGCCAACCCGAGAAAGAACCGCUUGAGCCUGAGAGCAAUCUCAGGACCAGACAGAUGAUUAUCUAAAACAGAACACGGCUUACGGACUGCUUUA